AUGUUAAUAUGAUAUAUGAUUUUCAUAUUGUGGAGACCUUUCUUAAAAUCAGGUUAAACAAUUAGUUUUGGCCGCUAUUGCUUUGAAAAGACCAGUGCUAUUCUAUUUGUAUUUGGCCAUGGCUUUGGAGCCUUCCUCCUGAUGAGAUUUUUGUUUCUCAAGAGUGAUUAUUUUGGUUCCGUUUGAACUAUGAAGUUAUAUGUUAAUUUCACCGAGCAGUUACGUUUGAUUCUACUUUCGUGUCUCGUCUAAUUAUUCUUUCCUUUGCCAUAGUUUGUGUAUUUUUUGGUUAGCAUUCUUUUUCUCUAUGACUUCUACAACUAUCGACCUGGAGAGCCCCAAUACGUUGCUCUUCUCGGUGAUUUUCUGCAGUGCAUUAUUGUUCUUCUGGGGUUGAAGAGCUUGAUCAAAAAGAGGCAACUAAGGAAGAAAGUCGUGAAGCCGAAAACUGCUUAGAUAUAUCGAAGUGGUAGCAGGUGAAAAUUGUUGAUUUGCAGUGCCAGGUAAUAUUUUGUAGGAUCAUCCGUUACCGAACCGAACUUUUAGUAGUUAAGCUUAUUUUAGUUAUUUAUUCACCGGAAUAUUCAAAAAAUACGUUUGCAUAUUCAAAUAUUUUCCCUUCGAUUACAAGUUUAAGUUUAAAAGUAGUGUUUGACUGAAUCCGUCGCUUCAUGACUCCACAGCAGUAUUUAUGACAGGCAAAAUCAAUUGCUCUCCUCUCCCAUGUAAAAAUACUAAAAAACGUUCUUGAAGAGGUUGAAAGAGUGAUGCAAGAAUUCAAAGGCACACUUUACAAGUCCAUGGAAGAUCCACAAAUAGACCUAACAAGUGUAAGCAUUU